rnacentral:rRNA from 1 species
CCAAUCGAACUCGGAGAUAGCUGGUUCUCCCCGAAAUAGCUUUAGGGCUAGCCUCGAUUUAGAUUACCGGGGGUAGAGCACUGAAUGGGCUAGGGGGCCACAAAGCUUACCGAACCCUAUCAAACUUCGAAUACCGGAUAAUUGAUGAUCGGGAGUCAGACAGUGUGAGAUAAGUUUCAUUGUCGAAAGGGAAACAGCCCAGAUCUACGACUAAGGUCCCAAAGUUCAAGUUAAGUGGAAAAGGAUGUGCAAUUGCGUAGACAACCAGGAUGUUGGCUUAGUAGCAGCCAUUCAUUCAAAGAGUGCGUAAUAGCUCACUGGUCGAGUGAUUGUGCGCCGAAAAUGUAACGGGGCUAAACUUGACACCGAAGUCUAGGCAGAAGGAAACUUCUGGGUAGGGGAGCAACGUGUACGGGCAGAAGCAGAAGCGGAAGCGACUGUGGACUGUACAGGAGAGAGAAUGCCGGCAUGAGUAGCGAGAGCAAAGUGAGAAUCUUUGCCGUCGAAAGCCUAAGGUUUCCUGAGGAAGGCUCGUCCUCUCAGGGUAAGUCGGGACCUAAGCCGAGGACAAUAGUCGUAGGCGAUGGACAAUCGGUUAAUAUUCCGAUACCGCCGAGCAACCGGAUGCAGUGACACAGAAGGAUAGGCAGAGCGUGGCGAUGGUAGACCACGUCCAAGCAGUGAGGCUGUUGUGUAGUGAAGUACGCACAACGGAAGGCUGGGCUGUGAUGGGGAACGAUUACGAUCGGUAAGCUGCUGAAUUCACGCUGGCGAGAAAAGCUGCUACGAAGCGAAGGCGCCCGUACCGCAAACCGACACAGGUAGGCGAGGAGAGAAUCCUAAGACGAGCGGGAGAACCCUUGUUAAGGAACUCGGCAAAAUGACUCCGUAACUUAGGGAGAAGGAGUGCCCAGGAAUGGGCCGCAGAGAAUAGACCCAAGCGACUGUUUACCAAAAACACAGGUCUGUGCGAAGUAGAGAUACGACGUAUACGGGCUGACACCUGCCCAGUGCCGGAAGGUUAAGGGGAAAUGUUAGGGCAACCGAAGCAUGGAACUUAAGCCCCGGUGAACGGCGGCCGUAACUAUAACGGUCCUAAGGUAGCGAAAUUCCUUGUCGGGUAAGUUCCGACCCGCACGAAUGGUGUAACGAUUUGGGUACUGUCUCAACAAGGGACCCGGCGAAAUUGUAGUAUGUGUGAAGAUGCACAUUACCCGCGAUAGGACGGAAAGACCCCGUAGAGCUUUACUGUAGUCUGAUAUUGGAUUUCGGUGAUUUAUGUACAGGAUAGGUGGCCAGGUGGCGGAUAAGCUGGAACAGUGCGCCCGUCAGAACCGCCUGACCCAUACCAUGUUUCUUACCACACACCAGCGCGGCAUUGCCCAGCAGGUGGUAGUCUGCUGCGGCACGCCCCCGCAUAGGAUAAUGGGGGGCCACCCCGAUGCAGAGCGCUGCCUGUUUCUCUUUCUACCGGACUAUAUGGAUGCGGAUAACAUCCCGGAAGAGGAGCUGCCCUUUGGAGCUAUCCGGGUCAGCUGGGGCCAUGGCGCAGCGCUUACCCAUCGGGACAUCCUGGGCAGCUUGAUGGCACAGGGUGUCCGCAGGGAGGUGCUGGGCGACCUUUUAGUGGGAGAAAACGGCUGCGAUGUCAUUGCCCUGCGGGAGUGCAUUCCCUUCCUGCGGGAUAACUGGCUGAGCGCCGGCCGCACCGGUCUGCACCCGGUGGAGGUUCCCCUUUCGGAGCUGCGCAUUCCAGCUGCCGAUGGAAAGACCAUCCGGGAUACCGUCGCUUCACUGCGGCUGGAUGCCGUUCUUGGAAGCGGUUUUUCCCUCAGCCGGGGGAGAGCCGCGGAGCUCAUCGCCGCCGGGCGGGUCAGCCUGAAUGGCUGCGAGUGCCUAAAGCCUGACCGACAGCUUGCCGAA